UAUAUCCCGGUCAAUUUAAGUCUAGUUAAUUAGUUAUUACUUUAGUUGUAAGUCGAUUAUUGUUUCAAUAAACUGCCUUACAGUGAUGAAAAAUAAUCGAUCUUUGACUGAUUUGUUUGUUCGUUCAUAUAAUUGUGACAUUAUUUAUUGAAAGGGAUUUAUCGAUGGUGCUUACGCCAUUAUCAUCGAUGCUCCUAUGUAAAUACAACGCUGCGCUAAGCGUAAACACCCUUGACAAAAGAUCCAGGUUUCAUAGAUAACGUCACAAUUUAUUCAAUGUAGAAUGCAAUUUUAAUAACAUAAAUUCAAUGCGAACGUUAAUUCCUCCUUAAAUAUUUAUUUUUUGCACUGCAAAACCGGUGCACGGUUUUAAUGUAUUUGAUCACUUUAAAGCAGUUUAAUGAAAUACUAAUCGACUUAUAAUUAUUAUUUAUUAAGAGGGAAGAAUAGCUUUGUGAUCCUAGCGAAAUAUAGUACAUUACGAUAAUAAAGAAGACGGUUCAUGCCGAGGCAUAUAUAACGUCACAAUAAAUUCAAUGUACAAUUAAUAACACAAAUUCAGUGCGAACGUUAGUACUUUUCUCCAAACAUGCGAGGAAAUCAGAUAAAAUAAUCAUAAUUUAAGCAUCAACCAGCUCUCAAAUAGAACCUCCACAUCAAACACGUCAAAAACCCCUAUUUAAUUAUUUUUUUAAAAGUUAAAGGCACAACUAUUCAGCCAUUCAGUAUUUGCUCAUUCAAUAUAAUUGUGCAAUAUAAACUGUAUUGACACGCAUGAGAUCCUUAAAAAUAUAGUCUGUCAAGCAAAGUCUGUCAGUAGCAAUGUAAAGCAAACUGAAGUAUGGCAACACUCACAGAGCAGUAUUGCGCUAAGAAAAGCAGCAAUGUACAUCGAACCGAAACAUUUUUUUCCACUGAGCGCACUCUUCGUACGUCAACUAAAAUUGCCGCGGUUUAUUGAAGCAUUUGGAAAUUGUUAUUAUUAUGAGAGGGACAAUUUAAACUGGAGUAAAAACUGACUAUGCUGGAGAAAAUAAUGUUUGAAUCAAAUCAUUGCUUCCGCAGCAAACUUAGAAGACAAAUAGGGAGCAAAGAGAACAUAAGCACCACGGUAGCAAGCUGUUUUUAACAUCAGUUCAGAAACUGAAGGAGCCCAAAGAAAAUAAUUAUGCCACUUGUUAAUUGUAAAUUAGUGUAUUUCUCUUGAACAAUGUCACAUUCACAUACCAGUGUAAUUUUGAAAUGGUUUUACAAUAUACUUAUAUAAAUAUACAGAUUAAAAAUAAAUAAAAACACAACUGCA